CCCUUAGAUGUCCUGGGCCGCACGCGCGCUACACUGAGUGUCUGAGAUACGAGUCUGCCUGGUCCGGCAAGGUCUAGGUAAUCGCCAAAAGACACAUCAUGCUUGGGAUAGAUUAUUGCAAAUAUUAAUCUUGAACGAGGAAUUCCUAGUAAGCGCAAGUCAACAGCUUGCGUUGAUUACGUCCCUGCCCUUUGUACACACCGCCCGUCGCUACUACUGAUUGGAUGUUUAAGCGAGGUUCUCGAACUGCUAGCGACUUAGCUUCGGUGAGGUCGCAGUGUGGGAAGUGAACCGAGCUUUGGUGUCUAGAGGAAGUAAAAGUCGUAACA
rnacentral:rRNA from 1 species